UACAUAAACACAAUGGACUAUUACUCAGCCAGAAAUAAUGGCAUCUGCAGCAACAAGGAUGGACCUAGAAAUUAUCAUGCUAAGUGAAAUUAUCAUGCUAAAUGAAAUUAUCAUGCUAAGUGAAAUUAGUGAGACAGUGAGACACCAACAUCAUAUGCUAUUACUUACAUGUGGAAUCUUAAAAAAAGGACACAAUGAACUUCUUUGCAGAACAGAUACAGACUCACAGACUUUGAAAAACGUAUGGUUUCCAAAGGAGACAGGUUGGGGGCUAGGGGGAUGGGCUAGGGGUUUGGAAUGGAAAUGCUAUAAAAUUGGGUUGUGAUGAUCAUUGUACAACUAUAAAUGUAAUAAAAUUCAUUAGGUUUAAAAAAAUCAGCUCUAUUUAUAUAUCCUAGCAUGAAAAUUAGAUGAAACCAAGAAAAUAAUUCCAUUUGCAUUAGCAUGAAAAUGAAGUACUUGGGGAUAAAUUUUUGGACUAUAUACACUAAAAAUUAUAAAUUAUUGUUGAGAAAAAUUAAAGACCUAGGUAGACGAGGAAAUACUAGAAAACUCGAUACAGUUAACAUAUAAAUCCUCCCUUCCUAAAUUGGCCCAAAGAUUCAAAGCAAUCCCAGUCAAAAUCCCAGGAGGCUUCUUUUUAAAGGCUGAUAAGUUGAUUACAAUAUUUAGAUGGACCUAUAAAAGACCUAGAACAGUGAAAACAAUUUUGAGAAAGAACAGUGUUAUAGGACUUACACUACUGAUUUCAAACUUAUAGCUAUAAUAAUCAGAAUAGGUGGCAUUGGGCUAAGGAUAGACACAUACAGCAAUGGACCAGAGAGACAUCCCAGUAAUGGAUACAUAAAGACAGAUAAUAGAUAGAUAAGUAGGUAGAUAGACAGACAAACAGACAACUUGUUAUUUACAAAGAUGCUAAGCUAACUCUAUGGGGAAAGGAGAGUCUUUUCAACAAAUUGUUCUGGAACAACUGGAAAUCCAUACAGAAAAAAAAUGAAUUCAAUCCUUGCCUCAUGACACACACAAAAAUAACCCAAAAUGGCUCACAAAGCUACAUGUUAAAAUCAUAGAGCUCCUAGAAGAAAACAUAGGAGAAAAUCUUUGAGACUUCAGAAUAGGCAAAUUCUGAUUUGCUUUGGCCAACAAAAUGUGAAUGGAUAUGAAGUAGAAGCUUUAAGAGUCAGGCUAUGAUUUAACAUGUUCCCUUCCAUGUUAUCAUGAAAGCAUCUGUCCAAAUGGAACCUCUGUCAGAGAUCCUGAUGAUCAUUUGUGGCCAUGUAGCAUGAGUGAGAGUUAAACUUUUGUUUUGUCAAACCACUAAGAUUUGUUACUAAAUCAUAUUGUGGCCCAAUCAGUAAUAAAUGGAUUGGUUACACAAUUUAUACGCUAUUUUUUUUAGAAAUGAAAGGCCUAAUUGGGAAGGCUUUAACCUAGAAAACUGGCAUAUCAUCAUCUGAGAACUUCCAUCUGGCAUGAAGAAAUGUGCUGUUACAGGUACAAGCGUCCAUCCUCUGGGCAGUGCAAAUAAAAUGCGAAAAAUAUUAUUAAAGAGUACCAAAAGAACAGUAUGGAAUCAUUUCUAACGAACCACUGCUCUAAAUUUUAAAUCUCCAAACUUAAAGGCAACUGGGUACUAACAGCCAUGAUCUACCUUCUUACUAAACCUAACAAAAAUUACAAAGAAAUGAAAGGUCCAUUGCAACCAAUUGGCUUAAGGACUUAAUUAAAUGGCUUGGUUUUACAUGGGGAUUUAAUUCCAAAUAUUACAAUGACACACUCAUUUUGUCCAUUUAUUGUCUUUGUAGGUAGCAAAUAAAUCAGUGUUUUUGACCCUGAACACUUCCCCUUUUUAACUGACGAAUGGAAGUUAGAAAUGGGAUGCCAACAUUUCACCAUGAAGCUAUCAAUUUCCUUCCCAGAGUCUGAUCUACACACAUUCUAAAACAUUAACACACAAAAUUUAAUCUAAGUAUUUCUCUCCUUUCCCAAAAUGCACACGUUGAGGCCGCUUUACCACAACCAGGAUCAUCUAAUUUUGCAUGUGGAGCUUGUUAAGUGCUGAGCCAACAGAAAAGUCAGCCUGAUGGGAAGAAGAAAAAAAGCUGUGUUGCUCUAUGACCAUGGCCAGUAGAUUGCAUUCAGUUAACUUCUUUCAGGCAUAAUCCAUCACUGACAGAGCCAAUUUGUUAAUGCACAUUCUCUGGCUGAAUUAAGCCACAGACCUGCUGCCCAGCAUACCAUUAUAUCCAUAGACAUGCCAAAUAAUACUCCUUUUUCAGUUGGGCAACCCAAACUAAAAAUCCCUCAAAGACAUUUAUAAACUGCUUACUUCACCGUAUCUAUUGGUCAGAUCUGUUUAUAACCACUCAAAGAACAUUUCUGAGCACUCAGUAAUCAUAAUAUUGGGGCUUUUUACAAAGUAAGAAGACUUCUGUUAUAGCACAAUGACUAUGUAAUAGGUUUAUCACAAAAAUAUGUUUCCCUUACAUGCACAAAUAACCUUUUAUAUAAAACAAUAAUAAUAACAAUUCUCAAAACAUUUAUUCAACUGGAACUAACAAUGUUUUAUUCUUGCCAUUUAAACUCUUUAAACUUUACAUCUGCCUAGAAAUGGGGAAAACUGAAAUAUUUUUAAGUCCUAAAAAGCAAAGACUCAGAACCCAUAACCCAAAAAUUAAAGGACUGAUUUUGCUGUUUGUCUCAUGAGUUUUUUAAUUUUUUUAACAUUUGAAUAAAUACUUUUUAAGUUGCUAUGGUAUUUCAGUAUGAUGUUAUGACAAGGAGAUAUCACAAUCAAGAAUACUUGCAGUACAUUAAAUGAAACCUUAUAUAUUUUUAAACUCCUAUCAGUGUCCUAAAUGUUAUAGGAUCCCUGGCUUGUUGGCUUGUGAAGGCUGUGAUAACCAAGGCAUAUCAUGGCAUUUUAAACUGAAAUUAAGCAAGAAAUCUGUUUUUCACCAAAAUCCCUGCCUGUUAUUAAACUGGGCCAUUCAUAUUCAUUUCAGGGUCAACACAAGUAAAAAUUCAAAUUAUGAGGUUCUUUCAUGAUGGAGUAUUGUCCCGAGCAUACAACACUGAAGAGAGAUAUCAUUUCCUUUGAAUUCUUUUUCACGAGUGUCUGCUUCAGAGAUCAGCAAAGAUCUACACAGAUAGCAAACACAUGUUAAUAUUUAUAAUUUCCAGUUAUCACUCUAGAGUCUGGGGUCACGAAAAUGAGUAAGACACAAUCCUGGUCUCAAGUUGCUUAUAAUCUAGUAGAGGAAACAUACUGUAAUAAUGCAAAGAUAAAGGCAUUGUCCUGGUCUUAUUACAGUAUCCAUUUGCCAGGUAUAAUACAAGAUUGGUUCUUGGCUAGGCCAUCUUACUUAUAUCAAGUAUAACUAUAAAAGUGUUCAAUAGUACAUUUUAAACAGAACAUUUUUAUUUUGUAUAUUUUAUUUUGUUUAAUCUAAAAACCUAUUUAAGGAGUUCCCAUCGUGGCUCAGUGGUAACAAACGCUACUAGUAUCCAUGAGGAUGCAGGUUCAAUCCCUGGCCCCACUCAGGGGGUCAGGGAUCCAGCAUUGCUGUGAGCUGUGGUAUAGGUCACAGAUACAGCUUGGAUCCCGUGUUGCUGUGGCUGUGGCAUAGGCUGGCAGCUAUAGCUCUGAUUCAACCCCUAGCCUGGGAACUUCCAUAUGCCAAAGGUGCAGCCCUAAAAAGCAAAAAUAAAAUACAUAAAAUUAAAAUAAAACCUAUUUAAACCUAUUUAUUUUCUUGUUUUUUUCAUAAACCAAUGUUUAUUUUUAAAAAGUGAUUCUUACAAAGAUCUGUCAAUACUCAAAAUUAUCUUUUUGCCAGAUCCUAAAGGCUUCAUGCUACAGCAGAAUUGGGCCAUUUGCUUUACCCAAAUCUUAGAAAAUGGGGCUAAGGGACAAGUGAGAAUGUAUUAUCUGAAGGCUGAUCCACAAGAUAUCAUUAAUAGAUACAGUCAAGGAACAUUUUAGGUACCACCAGCUUACAUAUCAAUCAGCAUAAAAUGCAUUUUCUUCUGAGCUAGUCUAACCCCAUCUUCCCUUAUAGGCUUAUGUCACACGCAAGCCAGAUUAAAACAGUCACCUGAUCCAUUGAUAGCAAGCAUAGUAUUUUUUGAAGUAUAUUAACAGGCCUUCUCUUUUACAUAACCAUAUAGACAUCCUAACGUAUACACCUUCCUUGAAAAAUGGGGUGAGAAGAUGAGGAUUGUUGCAGCAUUAUUAUAAAGAGAAAUAAAGGAAUUCUCAUUGUGGCUCAGCAGGCUAAGAAUCCAUGAGGAUGCAGGUUUUAUCCCUGGCUUCGCUCAGUGGGUUAAAGGAUCUGGUGUUGCUGUGUGAGCUGUGGCGUAGGUCGCAAACACAGUUUGGAGCUGUGGGGUAGGCCAGCAGCUCCAGCUCCUAUUCGACCCCUAGCCUGGGAACUUCCUUAUGCCACAGGUGUGGCUGGAAAAAAAGCAAAAAAGUAAUCACCUGUGCCACAAAAUAGAAUUUUCAUGUCAACAGGAUAGGAAAUAGUCUUGAAAGUCAGGCUUUAUAUGAGAACAAAGGAUUCUUUAAAUUCCUUUUCCUUUUUCUCCCUGUUUAAUGAGUGAAGAGGCAGAUCUGUCUGACUCAUCAGAGAUUUUUACAAAAAAGAAGUCCUGAAAAAAAAGGCAAGUGUAAAAGCCUGUUCCUCCCUCUGCCAAUGGCUUUGGGGAAGAGGAAGGCAGGGGGAAGGGAAGCUGCAAAAGAAAGGCAUUUCCUGACCUAACCUCUCCAGGCUGAAGUCCCAGAGGCAGGGACAAAAUCUUUUCAGUAAGAUAAAAGGAAUGUUGAGGGCAAAGGGGCUCUUUGCCCUUUAGGACUCAGGAGCAAAAACCACUGGGCAAGGCAACACUAUACUAAUACAGCACAGCCCCAGCAGAGUAAAGGAGGCAGAAAAAGAAAUGCAGAAAGAUGGCCUAAUUAUCAUCCCUAAUCUCUGAUUUGGCAGAGUAAACCCAAAGAUUUCACAUACUGAGGAAAGAAUGAGAAGUUAAGAGGAGAGCAGUCGUGGUGGGGCUUUAUGAUGAGGAGCCAGGAAACCCAUAGAAGAGGCUAGAGGAGGUAGCCAGGGUUCUCUGAGUUCAUGGCAGAGACUUGAGACAAAGGCAGCAGCAGUGAGAGCCAAGGUAAAGCCAUGCCAAAUAGAAGGAAGCCAAGUUCCUGUCCUGGCUCAGCCAUUAAUGAACCCGACUUGCAUCCACGAGGACCCAGGUUCAAUCCCUGGCCUAGCUCAGUGGGUUGAGGAUCUGGCAUUGCCGUGAGCUGUGGUGUAGGUUGCAGACACACCUUGGAUCCCGUGUUUCAGUGGCUGUGGCGUAGCCCAGCGGCUACAGCUCUAAUUGAUCCCCUAGCCUGGGAACCUCCAUAUGCUGCAGGUGUGUU
rnacentral:lncRNA from 1 species